rnacentral:rRNA from 1 species
UACGAAGGGGGCGAGCGUUGUUCGGAAUUACUGGGCGUAAAGGGCUCGUAGGUGGCCAACUAAGUCGGACGUGAAAUCCCUCAGCUUAACUGGGGAACUGCGUCCGAUACUGGAUGGCUUGAGUUUGGGAGAGGGAUGCGGAAUUCCAGGUGUAGCGGUGAAAUGCGUAGAUAUCUGGAGGAACACCGGUGGCGAAGGCGGCAUCCUGGACCAACACUGACACUGAGGAGCGAAAGCCAGGGGAGCAAACGGG